GAUGAACGCUGGCGGCGUGCUUAACACAUGCAAGUCGAACGAUGAAGCCCAGCUUGCUGGUUGGAUUAGUGGCGAACGGGUGAGUAACACGUGAGUAACCUGCCCUUAACUCUGGGAUAAGCCUGGGAAACUGGGUCUAAUACCGGAUAGGAGCGCCUACCGCAUGGUGGGUGUUGGAAAGAUUUAUCGGUUUUGGAUGGACUCGCGGCCUAUCAGCUUGUUGGUGAGGUAAUGGCUCACCAAGGCGACGACGGGUAGCCGGCCUGAGAGGGUGACCGGCCACACUGGGACUGAGACACGGCCCAGACUCCUACGGGAGGCAGCAGUGGGGAAUAUUGCACAAUGGGCGAAAGCCUGAUGCAGCGACGCCGCGUGAGGGAUGACGGCCUUCGGGUUGUAAACCUCUUUCAGUAGGGAAGAAGCGAAAGUGACGGUACCUGCAGAAGAAGCACCGGCUAACUACGUG
rnacentral:rRNA from 1 species